AGCAUCCUGGCGGCGAGUGGCGAACGGGUGAGUAAUACAUCCGAACGUGUCCUGUAGUGGGGGAUAGCCCGGCGAAAGCCGGAUUAAUACCGCAUACGAUCUACGGAUGAAAGCGGGGGAUCGCAAGACCUCGCGCUAUAGGGGCGGCCGAUGGCGGAUUAGCUAGUUGGUGGGGUAAAGGCCCACCAAGGCGACGAUCCGUAGCUGGUCUGAGAGGACGACCAGCCACACUGGGACUGAGACACGGCCCAGACUCCUACGGGAGGCAGCAGUGGGGAAUUUUGGACAAUGGGCGCAAGCCUGAUCCAGCAAUGCCGCGUGUGUGAAGAAGGCCUUCGGGUUGUAAAGCACUUUUGUCCGGAAAGAAAUCCUCUGGGUUAAUACCCCGGGGGGAUGACGGUACCGGAAGAAUAAGCACCGGCUAACUACGUGCCAGCAGCCGCGGUAAUACGUAGGGUGCGAGCGUUAAUCGGAAUUACUGGGCGUAAAGCGUGCGCAGGCGGUGAUGUAAGACCGAUGUGAAAUCCCCGGGCUUAACCUGGGAACUGCAUUGGUGACUGCAUCGCUGGAGUAUGGCAGAGGGGGGUAGAAUCCACGUGUAGCAGUGAAAUGCGUAGAGAUGUGGAGGAAUACCGAUGGCGAAGGCAGCCC
rnacentral:rRNA from 1 species